CUGACUGCUAUCGGAUUGGUACUAAGCCAUGUGAGUCAUUGUAGCAAUACAAGGCAUACGGCUCAGUAACACGUAGUCAAUCUGCCCUAUGGACGUGGAUAACCUCGGGAAACUGAGAAUAAUCCGCGAUAGAUCAUAAUGCCUGGAACGGUUUAUGGUCCAAAUGAUUCGUCGCCAUAGGAUGGGACUGCGGCCUAUCAGCUUGUUGGUGAGGUAAUGGCCCACCAAGGCUAUUACAGGUACGGGCUCUGAGAGGAGAAGCCCGGAGAUGGGUACUGAGACACGGACCCAGGCCCUAUGGGGCGCAGCAGGCGAGAAACCUUUGCAAUGUGCGCAAGCACGACAAGGUUAAUCCGAGUGUUUCCUGCUAAAGGAAUCCUUUGUUAGUUCUAAAACCACUGAUGAAUAAGGGGUGGGCAAGUUCUGGUGUCAGCCGCCGCGGUAAAACCAGCACCCCAAGUGGUCAGGAGGAUUAUUGGGCCUAAAGCAUCCGUAGCCGGUUCUGUAAGUUUUCGGUUAAAUCCACUAGCUCAACUAAUGGGCUGCCGGAAAUACUGCAGAACUAGGGAGUGGGAGAGGUAGACGGUACUCGGGAGGAAGGGGUAAAAUCCUUUGAUCUCUUGAUGACCACCUGUGGCGAAGGCGGUCUACCAGAACACGUUCGACGGUGAGGGAUGAAAGCUGGGGGAGCAAACCGGAUUAGAUACCCGGGUAGUCCCAGCUGUAAACGAUGCAGACUCGGUGAUGCACUGGCUUUUGGCCAGUGCAGUGCCGCAGGGAAGCCGUUAAGUUUGCCGCCUGGGAAGUACGUACGCAAGUAUGAAACUUAAAGGAAUUGGCGGGGGAGCACCACAAGGGGUGAAGCCUGCGGUUCAAUUGGAUUCAACGCC
rnacentral:rRNA from 1 species